rnacentral:sRNA from 1 species
UCCGUAGGUGAACCUGCGGAGGGAUCAUUACACAAAUAUGAAGGCGGGCUGGAACCUCUCGGGGUUACAGCCUUGCUGAAUUAUUCACCCUUGUCUUUUGCGUACUUCUUGUUUCCUUGGUGGGUUCGCCCACCACUAGGACAAACAUAAACCUUUUGUAAUUGCAAUCAGCGUCAGUAACAAAUUAAUAAUUACAACUUUCAACAACGGAUCUCUUGGUUCUGGCAUCGAUGAAGAACGCAGCGAAAUGCGAUAAGUAGUGUGAAUUGCAGAAUUCAGUGAAUCAUCGAAUCUUUGAACGCACAUUGCGCCCUUUGGUAUUCCAAAGGGCAUGCCUGUUCGAGCGUCAUUUGUACCCUCAAGCUUUGCUUGGUGUUGGGCGUCUUGUCUCUAGCUUUGCUGGAGACUCGCCUUAAAGUAAUUGGCAGCCGGCCUACUGGUUUCGGAGCGCAGCACAAGUCGCACUCUCUAUCAGCAAAGGUCUAGCAUCCAUUAAGCCUUUUUUUCAACUUUUGACCUCGGAUCAGGUAGGGAUACCCGCUGAACUUAAGCAUAUCAAUAAGCGGAGGAAAAGAAACCAACAGGGAUUGCCCUAGUAACGGCGAGUGAAGCGGCAACAGCUCAAAUUUGAAAUCUGGCUCUUUUAGAGUCCGAGUUGUAAUUUGCAGAGGGCGCUUUGGCUUUGACAGCGGUCCAAGUUCCUUGGAACAGGACGUCACAGAGGGUGAGAAUCCCGUACGUGGUCGCUGGCUAUUGCCGUGUAAAGCCCCUUCGACGAGUCGAGUUGUUUGGGAAUGCAGCUCUAAAUGGGAGGUACAUUUCUUCUAAAGCUAAAUAUUGGCCAGAGACCGAUAGCGCACAAGUAGAGUGAUCGAAAGAUGAAAAGCACUUUGGAAAGAGAGUCAAACAGCACGUGAAAUUGUUGAAAGGGAAACGCUUGAAGU